UUCCUUGAGAAAGAGGAGGCAAAUCCAAAAAGGACAUUAGUUGAGACUCUGAAGACCAUCCCUAUUUUGGGAAGCUCAAGAUGGAUGUCAGCAGGACCCUGGUUCCCAUUAAGGAGGCCUGAGUUUCCAGCUGCCCUGCUCCCAUUUCCUUGUAGCAAGGCAAUGGACAUUUGAAUAAGAGCCCUGCACAGCACUCCUGUUCUGGGGCCCAGGAUAUUGACUACAAAGGCUCCUGGGAAAGGAAUUUCAAUAGCAGAGCAGAGCAAAGAGACACCCUAAUCUCAGUGAACACUUGAAGGACAACUUAUGGGCUUUCACUGAAAUUGACUCCUUCUGAUUCCACUUCUUGACUGAGACUGGCAUUGGGAGAUGAGGGGAGAAGGCAUUGAAAGGGCAUCUCAAAUGGAGCCAGGAGCAGACAGCCCUCAAAGUGGGAAGCAGACAAAGGACCACGAGCCCCAAUAUCAGAAAGAGGCCUGCAUGUGAUUUGGCACCAGCCACCCUAGAGUGUGGAACUCGGAGGGACCAUCACUAGGGUCGUUGUCCAGCAGCUGAGAUACUCACAGGCCACAGGGAACAGAGGGUGAAGGAUUUGGUCGAUUUGUGUGGGGAUAAGGGUCUGAUCCUCCUCCUGCCGUGGUUCGACUGAGCUGAACAAACCGGAAACUUCUCUAGGAACUGGGCUAUACUAUACAUGUAAUUAAAAGUUAAUUAUCUUAAAAAAAAAAAGCAUUAAAUCUAUCUUUG